rnacentral:lncRNA from 1 species
UUACAUUCAAGUAAUGGUUUUGUCUGCUCCUGUGAUAAGCAUGUGCUGUUGUUUUUAUUGCUGCUGGUUUUUUAAUAGUGUUGAUUUUGCUAAAUUUUCUGUUAUUUUAGCUACAAUAUCAUGAUAUGGUCUGGUAUGAAAAGAAGUCUAUGAGGGUGACACCAGGAGUUACCACACCGGGUGACACCAAUUCUAGUGACAUCACCAGAGAAUUUAUUAAGGAAGAAAGGAUGUGGUUGCUGCAUGAGUCCUUUUAACUGGUAGUGUGAAGAGCUGGAAACAUCCUUUGCCACUGUGAGUUGCCUUGAGAGAUUUUUCAGUGCGUAUAUAGAAUACAGGUGUUCUAAUAAAUAAAAUAAGAACCAGCAGCACAAGAUGCUAUGUGCCUUAUAUCAGAAGAUGUACAUAAAAUUGAAUUUUAAUCAGAUGGGUACCUAUAUGUUUUGUAUUGGGGAACAAAUAUUGGUGGCUGGGUGUGUUCAAUUAGAGAAAUAACAGAUGCGUAAAGGGUUAAUCAACAGUCAAAAUCCAAGUUAGCUCUCCCCCCUGCCAUGUUGCCUAACAAUGUUUUAACUACAGAAUAAAACUGGGAAAUCUUAAUACCAGAUCUAAUAUGUCUCAUCUAGUUUAACCUCCAAUAGAACACUGAAAACUGAGACCAAAAUGGUCAACGGAUUGGAAGCCAAGUCCUAUGAUGAGUGACUUAGGGAGAUAGUCAUGUUUAUCUUGGGGAAAAGAAGGCUGAGAGGGGACACGAUGCCUAUGCUCAAAUAUUUGAAAGGUUGUUUUCUGCUGCUGUAGAGACUAGGACAUAGAGCAAUGGAUUCAAUUUGCAGGAAAAUAGAUUCCAUCUAAAUAUUAGUAAGAACUUUCUGAUGGUAAGAGCUAUUCGCCAAUGGAAUAUGCUGCCUUGGAGUGUAGUGAAGUCUCCUUUCCUGGAGGUUUGGAAACAGAAGCUAGAUGACCAUCUGUCAGGAGUGCUUUGACUGUGCAUAGGAGAAUCGGGUUGGUCUGUAUGGCUCUUGGGGUCUCUUACAACUCUAUGAUGUCAUAACCUUGGCCAUUCAUUAUGUGACAAAGAGACAGAAUCCAAAAAAAGAUAGGACAGCCAUCAAGUCAUAGUCCUACACAGUGCAUCAAGAAAUUACAAAGGAAGACUUAAAAGAGAAACAGCUGAACUGAAUUAUAUUCAAAAAU